rnacentral:rRNA from 1 species
GCAUAUCAAUAAGCGGAGGAAAAGAAACCAACAGGGAUUGCCUCAGUAACGGCGAAGUGAAGCGGCAAGAGCUCAAAUUUGAAAGCUGGCCCCUUCGGGGUCCGCGUUGUAAUUUGCAGAGGAUGCUUCGGGUGCAGCCCCCGUCUAAGUGCCCUGGAACGGGCCGUCAUAGAGGGUGAGAAUCCCGUCUGGGACGGGGUGUCUGCGUCCGUGUGAAGCUCCUUCGACGAGUCGAGUUGUUUGGGAAUGCAGCUCUAAAUGGGUGGUAAAUUUCAUCUAAAGCUAAAUACUGGCCGGAGACCGAUAGCGCACAAGUAGAGUGAUCGAAAGAUGAAAAGCACUUUGAAAAGAGAGUUAAACAGCACGUGAAAUUGUUGAAAGGGAAGCGUUUGCGACCAGACUCGCCCGCGGGGUUCAGCCGGCACUCGUGCCGGUGUACUUCCCCGUGGGCGGGCCAGCGUCGGUUUGGGCGGCCGGUCAAAGGCCCUCGGAAUGUAUCACCUCUCGGGGUGUCUUAUAGCCGAGGGUGCAAUGCGGCCUGUCCGGACCGAGGAACGCGCUUCGGCUCGGACGCUGGCGUAAUGGUCGUAAAUGACCCGUCUUGAAACACGGACCAAGGAGUCUAACAUCUACGCGAGUGUUCGGGUGUCAAACCCGUACGCGCAGUGAAAGCGAACGGAGGUGGGAGCCCCUCGGGGCGCACCAUCGACCGAUCCUGAUGUCUUCGGAUGGAUUUGAGUACGAGCGUAGCUGUGGGGACCCGAAAGAUGGUGAACUAUGCCUGAAUAGGGCGAAGCCAGAGGAAACUCUGGUGGAGGCUCGCAGCGGUUCUGACGUGCAAAUCGAUCGUCAAAUUUGGGUAUAGGGGCGAAAGACUAAUCGAACCAUCUAGUAGCUGGUUCUGC